rnacentral:rRNA from 1 species
UUCAACGGCCGCGGUAUCCUAACCGUGCAAAGGUAGCGUAAUCACUUGUCUUCUAAAUAAAGACCAGUAUGAAAGGCAUCACGAGGACUAAACUGUCUCCUCUCCCCAAUCAGUGAACCUAAUAACCCCGUGAAGAAGCGGGGAUUUUUAUAUAAGACGAGAAGACCCUAUGGAGCUUAAAACAUCAUAACACCUGCCACACCACCUAUCUACCCCGGGUUCCCCCCCCCCCGUGACACCCUGAUUAUAUGUUUUUGGUUGGGGUGACCGCGGAGAAAAACCCAUCCUCCACAAUGAAGGGGACUUCCCUAAACAGUAAGCCACAACUUUAUGCAUCAGUAAACUGACAUCAUUGACCCAAUAUAUUUGAUUAACGAACCAAGUUACCCUAGGGAUAACAGCGCAAUCCACUUCGAGAGCCCCUAUCGACAAGUGGGCUUACGACCUCGAUGUUGGAUCGGGGUAUCCUAGUGGUGCAGCCGCUACUAAAGGU